UACGGGGGGGGCAAGCGUUGUUCGGAAUUACUGGGCGUAAAGGGCUCGUAGGCGGCCAACUAAGUCAGACGUGAAAUCCCUCGGCUUAACCGGGGAACUGCGUCUGAUACUGGAUGGCUAGAGGUUGGGAGAGGGAUGCGGAAUUCCAGGUGUAGCGGUGAAAUGCGUAGAUAUCUGGAGGAACACCGGUGGCGAAGGCGGCGACCUGGGUAGAUACUGACGCUGAGGUGCGAAAGCGUGGGGAGCAAACAGG
rnacentral:rRNA from 1 species